UACGUAGGGGGCAAGCGUUGUCCGGAGUUACUGGGCGUAAAGCGCACGCAGGCGGUCGCGUAAGAGUGCGGGGACAGUGGGCGGCUUAACUGCCCAAGGGUCGCACAGACUGCGUGACUGGAGGGCCAGAGAGGGACCUGGAAUUCCGGGUGGAGCGGUGAAAUGCGUAGAGAUCCGGAGGAACACCAAUGGCGAAGGCAGGAUCCUGGCUGGCACCUGACGUUCAUGUGCGAAAGCCAGGGGAGCGAACGGG
rnacentral:rRNA from 1 species